rnacentral:rRNA from 2 species
CGAAGAUACCAGCUGGCUGCAACUGUUUAAUAAAAACACAGCACUGUGCAAACACGAAAGUGGACGUAUACGGUGUGACGCCUGCCCGGUGCUGGAAGGUUAAUUGAUGGGGUCAGCCGCAAGGCGAAGCUCUUGAUCGAAGCCCCAGUAAACGGCGGCCGUAACUAUAACGGUCCUAAGGUAGCGAAAUUCCUUGUCGGGUAAGUUCCGACCUGCACGAAUGGCGUAAUGAUGGCCAGGCUGUCUCCACCCGAGACUCAGUGAAAUUGAACUCGCUGUGAAGAUGCAGUGUACCCGCGGCAAGACGGAAAGACCCCGUGAACCUUUACUAUAGCUUGACACUGAACAUUGAGCCUUGAUGUGUAGGAUAGGUGGGAGGCUUUGAAGCGUGGACGCCAGUCUGCGUGGAGCCAUCCUUGAAAUACCACCCUUUAAUGU